CAGUAGCCGCGGUAAUACGAAGGGGGAUAGCGUUGCUCGGAAUCACUGGGCGUAAAGGGUGCGUAGGCGGGUCUUUAAGUCAGGGGUGAAAUCCUGGAGCUCAACUCCAGAACUGCCUUUGAUACUGAAGAUCUUGAGUUCGGGAGAGGUGAGUGGAACUGCGAGUGUAGAGGUGAAAUUCGUAGAUAUUCGCAAGAACACCAGUGGCGAAGGCGGCUCACUGGCCCAAUACUGACGCUCAUGCACGAAAGCGUGGGGAGCAAACAGGAUUAGAUACCCGCGUAGUCCCUGUCUCUUAUAA
rnacentral:rRNA from 1 species